CCUACGGGCGGCAGCAGUGGGGAAUAUUGCACAAUGGGGGAAACCCUGAUGCAGCGACGCCGCGUGAGUGAAUAAGUAUUUCGGUAUGUAAAGCUCUAUCAGCAGGGAAGAAGCAAGACGGUACCUGACCAAGAAGCCCCGGCUAACUACGGGCCAGCAGCCGCGGUAACACGUAGGGGGCAAGCGUUAUCCGGAUUUACUGGGGGUAAAGGGAGCGUAGACGGUAUGGCAAGUCUGAAGUGAAAGCCCAGGGCUUAACCCUGGGACUGCUGUGGAAACUGUUAGACUAGAGUGCAGGAGAGGUAGGUGGAAUGCCUAGUGUAGCGGUGAAAUGCGUAGAUAUUAGGAAGAACACCAGUGGCGAAGGCGGCUUACUGGACAGUAACUGACGUUGAGGCUCGAAAGCGUGGGGAGCAAACAGGAUUAGAUACCCGAGUAGUC
rnacentral:rRNA from 1 species